rnacentral:misc_RNA from 1 species
UCCAGUUUAUCACCGGCAGUCCCCCUAGAGUGCCCACCAUGACGUGAUGGCAACUAAGGGCAAAGGUUGCGCUCGUUGCGGGACUUAACCCAACACUUCACAGCACGAGCUGACGACAGCCAUGCAGCACCUGUGUAAUCGUCCCUUGCGGGAACACCCGCUUUCACGGGCUGGCAACUACAUGUCAAGCCUGGGUAAGGUUCUUCGCGUAGCCUCGAAUUAAACCACAUGCUCCACCGCUUGUGCGGGUCCCCGUCAAUUUCUUUGAGUUUCAGUCUUGCGACCGUACUCCCCAGGUGGUGGAUUUAAUGAGUUAUCGUCGGCGCUGGAGGGAUCAACACCCCCAACACCUAAUCCACAUCGUUUACGGCAAGGACUAC